rnacentral:tRNA from 1 species
AAAUCCAGGGUCUAAUUAACCAUAUCCGGAUUUGCACUCCGGACUUUAACUGAAUUUCG